AAAAAAUUUUUUUUUUUUUUUUUACUUUUUCCGUGUUUUUUUUUUUUUUUUUAAAGUAAUUACAGAGCAGGUAGUGAUUGACGCAAACCUCCCUUCAGUAUCAAAAGAGUCUGUGGGGUGAGUAGGGCCGGCCAGGGCCGCGAGUGGAGCUCGCUGUUGGGGACACUGUCGGAGUUGCCCCCUGGGCUCUGGUGAAGUUGUCUGUCUCUUGUGUUUUGAGGGUGGUGGAGUAGGAGGGACGGACAGGCGUCAAACUGCAAAAGGGGGAAAAAACAAAGAAAUAAAGAAAAAAGAAAGAGCCAUAAAAGAAGGGUUGUUGGGAUGAGGGGAAAGGGUACCCCUCGAAGAAGCUCCUCAACCCAGGAAGGUGGCGGGCAGGGCAGGUGGGCAGAGGACACGGCAAGGCGGAGGGUGGGGCCACCUCUCCUGAUCUCCAGGUCCUUUCCCAUUGCAGGACAGGCAGGCGCCGCCAGGGCUGCUGGGUAAGCAGGAGCAUCUCGGGCAGGCGUCCUGCGUCCCCGCGUCCCCGCGCGCCUAAGUUUAGAUUUGUGUCUCUUGCACGUUCUCCUUGGAGCCGCUCUUGAAGAGCAGAGGUUCGUGGAUGGAGUUGAGGCCGGGGCCCUUGGCCCCGCACCCGCCUCCUGGAUUGCCGCCGUAGUGCGCCUUGAAGGCAGCCGCCACGUAGUGGUGGUGGUUGAGGUGGUCUCGCUCCAGCGCCGGAAGAGCCAGGUGGCUGUCCCCACCCACGCCCGCGCCUCCAGCCACCGCAGCGGCCGCA
rnacentral:lncRNA from 1 species